UACAGAGGUCUCAAGCGUUGUUCGGAUUCAUUGGGCGUAAAGGGUGCGUAGGUGGCGCCGUAAGUCAGGUGUGAAAUUUCGGAGCUUAACUCCGAAACUGCAUUUGAUACUGCGGUGCUUGAGGACUGGAGAGGAGACUGGAAUUCACGGUGUAGCAGUGAAAUGCGUAGAGAUCGUGAGGAAGACCAGUGGCGAAGGCGGGAUCUCUGGACAGUUCCUGACACUGAGGCACGAAGGCCAGGGAGGCGAAACGGG
rnacentral:rRNA from 1 species